rnacentral:rRNA from 1 species
AGAGGGCGUGAAACCGCUUAGAAGGAAACGAGAGGCGCCGCAGUAAGCCGGUGGAAUUCAGUUGGCCAACUCCUGGCCAGUGCAUUUUCCAUUGGUGUGCGUCGGGACUGAUCUGGUGACUGAGGGGGCUUUGUUAAAGGGAACCUCUAAUUCGUUAGAGGAACUUUGUGGCUUUGUCUCCUCAGUUGUUGGAUUGGAAAACAUCCAGCCUUAUGGGACUGAGCUGGCCACGCUCUGGGUGGGCCUAGUUGGUUGAGAACACUCGGCCAGUUGGGUUGGCUUUUUGCGUGGCUGGUAUGUGCCUGUUGGGUGUCCUGACGUUAAUGUCGGCUACCCUCCCGACCCGUCUUGAAACACGGACCAAGGAGUCUAACAUGUGCGCGAGUCAUUGGGUGUAAAACCCAUAGGCGCAAUGAAAGUGAUGGUGCACGACCCGGCGGUUGCGUCGGAGCAGUGCAGCCCCAUCCCGAUUGCUCGUCAAUGGGGUGGAGGCAGAGCGUAUUUGUUGGGACCCGAAAGAUGGUGAACUAUGCCUAAGCAGGAUGAAGCCAGAGGAAACUCUGGUGGAAGUCCGAAGCGGUUCUGACGUGCAAAUCGA